GAUAGAUAACAGCAAGUUUUGAAGCUUCAAAUGCUGCUCAACUGGUUCAUCAAGCAGAUCAGCCAGAACCUUCUGGAAACGAAUAAUUAUUAACUACAGAAACAGCUCAAAGAUCAUCAGAUUCUGAAGGAACUAAUUCCAAAAGAUUAUUGUUGGAAUGUUGAGUGAAGGAAACAUUCUGAGACCCCAGGACCAGGCAACUCUGUGCACAGACCCAGACAGAAAGUCAUUCAUGCGCAAACGCCAUCCUUGGACUUUGCAGUACACCGGUUAAAAGCUGGACAUGGCUGCUGAUAAAGGCCUGGAGAAAUGGAAAAUUAACUCCAAUCUGGGAAGGAUCUUACAUUGUCCUGUUAACUACUGGGACUGAAAUUCAGACUGCUGAAAAAGACUCAUUACUUCUGAAAGAGAGGGCCCGUGCCAGCCCCAAAGGAGUGGAAGGUGGAGUCUCACCCAGGGGACUCACUGAAGCUGAAGUUUCAACAGACUUAAUGGACUGGUGGACAAUCAUCCUACUGAUAGGAGGGGUAAUAUUUGCACUCAGACUAUUUUUUGUGUUUUUGCUAUGUAGAGCAGAGUAGUUGCUUAUGCUCUUCCCUCAACUGAAGAAAACCAUGAUUGAACAAAUUCCAUUGCGUGCCCUCCUGGAUGUGUUGGUUUUGUAAUUGUACUUGUGUAUGUUGUUCUCAUUGUAUCGAUUGUGGUUUGGGUGUUGGAUGUAAGGUGUUUAUAUACCAAUUAAUCACUGGAAA